CAUGCAGGUGGUUAGUUAAGUCAGAUGUGAAAGCCCGGGGCUCAACCUCGGAACUGCAUUUGAAACUGGCUGACUAGAGUACUGUAGAGGGGGGUAGAAUUUCAGGUGUAGCGGUGAAAUGCGUAGAGAUCUGAAGGAAUACCGGUGGCGAAGGCGGCCCCCUGGACAGAUACUGACACUCAGAUGCGAAAGCGUGGGGAGCAAACA
rnacentral:rRNA from 1 species